rnacentral:rRNA from 1 species
GACGAACGCUGGCGGCGUGCUUAACGCAUGCAAGUCGAACGAUGAACCCGGAGCUUGCUCCGGCGGAUUAGUGGCGAACGGGUGAGCAACACGUGAGUAACCUGCCCUUGACUCUGGGAUAACUGCGGGAAACUGUAGCUAAUACCGGAUACGACCCUCGGCGGCAUCGCCAGGGGGUGGAAAGAAUUUCGGUCAAGGAUGGACUCGCGGCCUAUCAGCUAGUUGGUGAGGUAACGGCUCACCAAGGCGACGACGGGUAGCCGGCCUGAGAGGGUGACCGGCCACACUGGGACUGAGACACGGCCCAGACUCCUACGGGAGGCAGCAGUGGGGAAUAUUGCACAAUGGGCGCAAGCCUGAUGCAGCAACGCCGCGUGAGGGAUGACGGCCUUCGGGUUGUAAACCUCUUUUAGUAGGGAAGAAGCGAAAGUGACGGUACCUGCAGAAAAAGCACCGGCUAACUACGUGCCAGCCGCCGCAGUAA